UACGUAGGCAGCAAGCGUUGUUCGGAGUUACUGGGCGUAAAGAGUGCGUAGGUGGUGCCCUAAGUCUGUUGUGAAAUCUCCCGGCUUAACUGGGAGGGUGCGGUGGAAACUGGGGUGCUUGAGUGUGGGAGAGGUAAGCGGAAUUCCUGGUGUAGCGGUGAAAUGCGUAGAUAUCAGGAGGAACACCGGUGGUGUAGACGGCUUACUGGACCGACGACUGACACUGAGGCACGAAAGCGUGGGUAGCAAACAGG
rnacentral:rRNA from 1 species